CAAAGGGCUCCCUUCUCACCACAUCUUGAGGGCUUCCAAAAUCUCUAAUCCUUCCACAACGUGGACUCUUUAUGUUCUGCAUAUGACAGGGAAAGAUGAACCUAUCUGGAAGCCAGUUAACAAGAGUGCCUGGGAAUGGAGUUUCCAGGCACGAGCUCCCUGCAUAUGGAGCGGAACAGAAGAAAGAUGGCAAUGAAUCGAGAGCAAAACGUAAAUGACUGCAGCAGACUCCUCAGCAAGUUGGCUGCAUGAAGACGAUGAGGGCGAUAGGACAGCACAUCUUCCUGCUUUGGGGAGCUUUUCACCAUGAGCCGAGCCAGAGGCAAAGCAAUGAACAAAGACAGGAUUUCAAUAAGGAAAACUCAAGAGCUGAAUUAUGUUGAAAAGACCUCGCAAAACCAAAUGCCUAGCUUUGUCCUCCAGACCUCAAAAUAUUUUGAA